CAGGCUUCAGGAGGAAGAUCCUGCAGUGAAGAUAAAGAAGGAUGCAGAGCUACAAAGGAGGUGCCACUUUUACAUUUGGGCUUUUAUUAAUGUCUUUGCAACUGCAGCACUACACAGCUAAGACACUGCAGAUGGAGAGAUCCUUGAACAGAGAACCAUAAUGGAACAUACCUGGAAGAUUGAGCUCAUACAGCAGACCUGAAACAGUUCAAUUUAAAACUAUCAUCUAGCUCCCAACCAUUCUUCACUUUUCCAUCUGGCCUGCAUUUGUAGACAACUAUGAUAUAAAUUAAUGCUAGUAAUUAAAAUAACUUCUAGCCUGUUUCUAGCCUGGGCAUCAAAAUGAU